AUAUAUAAAAGUAUUUAUGUCCAAAGUUGAUUGGACCUAGGGCAUAAUACUUACAGUGUGUUUCUAAAUACCAAAGAUUAGUAAGUGCCUAAGAUUUAGGUGAAAAUUUAUGGAACUUUCAAAAUAAUUCCAGUAAUAUUUGACACACUAACAUUACCUUAAAAAUAACAUGGCUCAUGCAUUGCACGGGACAUAAGACUAGUUCUACUAAAAAGAUCAUGGUCAGCAUUCAAAGAAAGGAGAGAAAAACAUGUAAAGAGGUGAGUUUUGCUGCUGGAAUUUUUUUUUUGUUGGUUUUGGCAGUAGGCGUGGAGACCGAGGAGGAUCACCUCGUUUACCACCACAACUUUCUGCCUUGGUCUUUCAAACACAAAAACUCACAAGUCAAAUGAAAUAGAGAUCAAGCCCCUGAAUAUCUCACACACCCAAACAUGAAAUAUUGACCACUCCAAAAAGUAUUAUAUAUACCUAUUUACCAAAAAGGAGAUCACCAGUGGGAAACCUUCAAAAUGGAACUACCACAAAAAUGAAUGAUUAUUUAUAUUACAUCUCCUGCUACAUUACUUUACAGUGGCCAUCACUUCACCGGCACUAUACAGCCCUUAGUGCUUUGAUACUGGUCAUUUCUGAUGAACCUCUUCAUGGUGGAAUUCAAAGUAACCGCCGACGCUAGUGGGAUGAUAGUGUACAAUUUUUGCUUUUAUCCAUGUGUCCACAUUAAAUUUCGAUGGAGACAAGACAACGAUGGCUGCUUGUUUGGAUAGAGAUGAAUUUUUCAAUCAGAUUUUGGAAGCUAUUUUACUUGGCAGAAGAAGAAACCAACAUUUACAGCUUACUCAUGGUACUUUUGUUGGCUUCUUGUUAAUUGAUCUCAUCCACUUAAACAGGUUGUAGAAGGUAUUGGUUUAUCAUUGGGCCUCUUGUACAGUGGUCUUCAUUUGGCAGAAUCCUUCUGCUUCUAUUUAUCUAACUUGGGACAUCUCUUUCAAUUAUAAAAAUAGUGACUUAUGGGUCAUAGAUUCUCAUUAUCCUAUAAUUUUCCAGCUUGUGUACUUCAAUUUAUGGACAAUUGUUCCUUUUAAUU